ensembl:lncRNA
CUUAAAUCCCUUUCCCGUUUACUGGAGGGAGUGGUGCAAGACUUCUUCACUAGUCUGUCACAUCGUUAAUAUUCAGACGAGGUAGGUCUUGAAGACACCGAGUAUAGAAGAGAGCCAUGUUUGUUGUAUUGUGUCUGUCGUUUGUCGCCAAGUGCCGUCCACCUCACCGGAAGUUGGUUUGCCGGUAUAGCCAAACCCGGAAUUGUGACGUGCAUUGAACCUAUACACUCCGCAUUCUUCGUGCAUGGUGUUUUGUUUAUAUGUUGCUUGGCAACAGUCUGCUCAGCGGAGAUCUAUUUUUGCUUAGAUUGCUGCUCGAGCGCCUCUCGCUGUAUGUGAUGGCUCGAGCGCGGCGCGCCUCCCGCUGAUUGUGAUAUUGCUGCUCGAGCGCCUCUCGCUGUAUGUGAUAUUGCACAAACACAACAGUUACUAAUAAGCUAAAACAAAUAUGCAAAGCAUAACUGCGUUUUUCAAAAAGAAUGAUGGGAAAACACAAACAAACAGAGGAAGAGAGGAAGAGGAAGAAAUCGCCAGGAAGAAGGUUAGAGUGGAGAAAGUUACUGUAGUCGAUAAAGUCUACAAAUUCAACCCCGACUGGUUGAAGGAUUUCGGUUGGCUACUUUAUGAUGCCGAGAACAUGAAAAUGUUCUGUAAAUUUUGUAAGGAAGCCCCAUCGGCAAUGGCAGGCUCUUCUCUGUUUAGAACCGGGAACCCUAAUCUAAAACGCGAUGCUGUGGUAAAACACAGCGAGUCCGUUCGGCAUUCUCGAUGUCGCGAUUUAUAUAUAAAUCGCACCCAGCCCAAUAACCCUGGCACGGUGGAAGCCGCCGUUGGCAGACAAGUGGCUAUCUCUAAUCAGGACGCGCUCCGGCAGCUGAAGGUUAAAUUUAACAUAGCGUAUGUGAUCGCAAAGGAAGAGAUAGCCUUCACUAAAUUUGGACCGAUGAUUGCCCUUCACCAUAAAAAUGGAUUAAACAUCAAUCCCACAUAUGACAAUGAUGUGAGAUGUGCUGAGAUGGUCGGUCAAAUAGCGGAAGGCAUCAAAGACACUCGCUGCCCAGCUACAAGCGGCCCGUUACCUCGCAGUCCUGAUAGAUGGCGAUACGGACAUAUCAAACACGGAGUGUGAGAUUGUGUAUGUGCGCUUCGUGGAGGAUGGCAGACCGGUGACCCGCCUCGUCGGCCAACAGGCUCUCUUACACGCUCAUGCGCAAGGUGAGUGGCAAAGAAAUUCUAUGUUUUUAUAUUAAUCACACAGCCCCACAAUUUAUCUUCUUCACCAAUCGUAUAGGCCUAGCUCUCCUAGUUAUUCUGAAAUGCAAUGAUGAUUGGUGGUGGUGUAUAAUGUAAUGUAAUAAUGUAAACGUGUAUAUUUAUAUUAAGUUUAGGUAUUUAUUGGUGGUGUAUUAUAUAAAGUCCAAUGGUAAAGGGGAAAAAAUAAUAAUAUAAAACAAGGGGACUGAAAUGUGAAUGUCAUGUCUACAACAAUAGUUAGGCCUAUAGGCUAACAUUAUCAAUGAAAUUAAUGCAAAAUUACUUACACAGAAUAUGAAUAUGUGGACAACUGCUUGUUAAAAAAAGGCUACUUUAAGGAAUUUAACUCUGUUUUCUUUUUACUUAAGGUGUCCUGGCUGGAACCAAUGCAGCAUUUGAUGCUCUUGGACGUGGUACAUGCGACUGGAAGGCCAAGUGUGUCGCAUUUGGUGCAGAUGGUGCUAAAGUCAACAUGGGUGUGCAUAGGGGAGUGAGUGCUCUACUCAAACAGGCAGCCGGACAGCAUGUAAUUCCCAUUCAUUGCAUGCCUCACAGGUUGGAGUUGGCCAUUCUCAACCUGCAGCGCAAUGAGACAAUGGUGGCCAAAGUCUAUGACCUUCUCCAUCUUGUGUGGAAGACAUACCAACAGAGCCCUAAAUCCAGGCGUGAGCUGAACCUGAUUGGAGAAGAGCUAGGUGUGAGGGUCUGCUCUCCUUCGAGCGUGAAAGGGACGCGUGGAUUCCCCAUGUACACCGGGCACUGAGUGUGUUCCUUCGUGCAGCAAAAGAAGGGAGUCUGUCAACUGACAGUGGUCAGUAUUCGGCUGUUUUGCGCCACAUGGACCACCUUGCCUCCUCAGCAGCCAGUGCUGAAAUUCAAGGGCGUGCAAAGAAGGUACGUUUUACAAAACCAUAGUACACAUUGCUUACGAAAGUGACCUGAUUUAUUUUGAGAUAUAUCACUUAAAAUCGAAACAAGGUAUUUUUUCUGACUGCCCCUGUUCAGAUUAGGAAGGGAAUGCACUAGAUUAACUUCUGCGCAUUUGGCCAUUUCCUGGCUGACGUGUUUAAUGAACUGGCCUCGCUCAGUUGCGUUCUGCAGAAGAACGACCUCAUUCUUCCUCAAGCCAUCUCAGUGCUGAGAAAGACAGUGAUGGUGUUGCAGGCUAUGCAGGAAACACCGCACAGAGGGGGCAUGCUAUGUCAGUUCAUGGAAUGUCUACAAGGGCAGGAAGAGAUCUCAUUUCAGGGUGUACCACUCUCAGGAGAUGUCACAGGAAUGCAGCAGAGGCUACAGAGAAACAUCACCUCUGUCAUCACCACCACUGUGGAAGCCAUUAACACCAGAUUCGGCAGUCUCAUCAAUGAGGACUCCGAAGACUACUCUGCAGUGAAUUGCAUGAAAAUCUUUCAUCACGACACCUGGCCUGAGAAUACCAAUGAACUGGUUGAUUAUGGAAACGAUCAGUUGGAGGCCCUAAUGGAGCAUUUUCGUCAUGUCCUUACAAGCUCUGGAUGUCAGAUGGAUGCUUUGCCAGGGGAAUGGCAGAGUUUGAAGACCCUUUUAAAUUACUCUUACAGAACAUCCUACACCUUGUGGACAUACUGUUGGUCCUCCCAAUUUCUUCUGCACAGUGUGAGCGGGGCUUCUCUGCGCAGAAACGCCUCAAAAGCUCUUUGAGGAGCUGCUUGCAUGUCUCCACCACAGAGGAUCUUAUCAGGAUCACUACAGAGGGCCCC